CAGUGAUGGAUAACAGGUCGGA
rnacentral:piRNA from 1 species